ensembl:misc_RNA Metazoa_SRP Metazoan signal recognition particle RNA
GCUGGGCAUGGUGGUGCAUGCCUGUAAUCCCAGCUACUGAAGAGGCUGAGGCAGAAGAAUCACUUGAACCCAGGAGGCGGAGGUUGCAGUGAGCCAAGAUCACGCCACUGCACUCCAGCCUGGAUGACAGAGUGAGACUCUGCCUCAA